GGCAGUGAAACAGCUUUCCGGUCCGGCGCGGCCCUCAUCCCCUGCACUUUCGGUCCGAUCCGCGGCCGCCCGCUCCGUCUCCGGAGCGCCCUUUCACCGUCCCCUGAUCCGCUUCCGAGUGCCAGUGCAGCUCAAGCCCGCCGACCAUGCCCGCGGGCGUGUCCUGGACGUCCUACCUGAAAAUGUUCGCCGCCAGCCUCCUGGCCAUGUGCGCCGGCGCGGAGGUGGUGCACCGGUACUACCGGCCGGACCUGCCACACCGACUUCCUUGCUGUUUCUCAAACUCGUCAAGCCUGUCCCAACCUCAAGUGAAUUAGCACUACAGUUUUGGAGGUGUUUAUUCUGGUUUUCGGAAGAGGAAACUGAGGUUCAGCAGAGUGAAGGUGAUUUCCCGAAGUCGCAUAGCUUAAUGACGAUUUGAAGCCCAAGCUUUCUGUUCAGUGUUUCUCUUUUUUGAACCUGUUAAUGAAAUAAUACAACGCCCUUGGAGUUUUCCAAUUGAAUUCAAGCAUGUAGAGUAAAAAGUGAAAAUCCCUCCGCUGAUAACCUCCUUUAUCCAAUCUGCUCCCCAUUUGUUGGUUGGUAUAUACUUCCAGACUUUUUACUGUUGUUGAAUACACACACUCACAUACAUAGAGUUUAUGGGGUGUUUUCCCCCAUGUAAAUAGAAAUUCAUAUACACGUUUCUCUGCGGCUUGCUUGUUUUGGUUAAUGUCUGUAUGAAUAGAUUUGCUUAUAGCCUUUUUUCUUUCUGGUCACUGAAUAGUAUUUCAUACUAUAGAUAUUCCAUAUAUUAUUUACUCAAUUCCCUAUUGACGUUUAGCUGGUAUCUAGUUUUUGUACAAACAAUGCUGCAGUAGCUCUUUCUUACCACUUUAGACUGCUUCUCUUGAAUUCUACGGAGGCAUCAAGGAUACUUAGUGGGGACAGAAAGGGGUUAGAACCUUCCACAGAAAUGCAGUUUGGUCUCUAGCUUGUGCAGGAGUAGACAUCAGACAGGCUUUACAAAGGGAGGAAUGCCUGUGAUUUGACCCUGGGAAAUUUGCCCUUUCGUUCACCCAUAUCAUAAGCCAGAAUGUGCACGGGUUGUUACCAGCAGCUACCUGGACCUUGGGAUGUGGCAGCUGAAACCAGAAUCUCUAGAAGGGGCAUACUGAAGUGUCUCAGGCCACCUCAUCCUGAUUGGGUGGUGACAUUGGCAGUGGGGCACCUCUGUAGGGACUUGUAGGCCAGGGCUGGCUGUGUGUAGGAGGCUGUUGGCUUUACUAACAUUGAAGGAAUUUAUGUUCUUUACCUCUGUCUGUUGGUAUUGUUCCAGCAAUUACAGUCACUAUUGUAACCACCACCAGCCUUUGCAGGAGUAUUUCAGUCUCUGCAGCUAGGGGUCUGGGUGGAUUCUAGAGCAGAGGAGACCGGAAGGGCUGCCUAGGGCUUGUGCUCAGUGCUGUCUUAAGGGAGAAGCUUUAAGGGCACCUUCUCCUCGUCGUCCAGCCCAGCUCAUCUCAUCAAAAUAGAAGAGGAGGCAAAGACUCAGGGCGGAUGCUCCGUCCUGGAAUAGAGUGCUUUCUGCUCGAGCUUCCCUUUUGCAUUUCCUUUUACUCUUGCAUUACUUGUACUUGUUCUGUUUUUCUUAAUUUAUAAUCUGUUUACUAUUGGAGGCAUAGAAGGUCAAAAGACACAGUCUCUGGACUCAUUUUACAGCAUUCGUUUUUGGUUGUCUUGAGACACAUGCACACAAACUGCUAUUUAGAACCUCUGCUGACAUUGCUAACUUUGAUGCCAAAAUCACUUUACUCUUAAAAAUUGGUUAUAUAUUUAGUAUGUAAAUAAGAAGUGCUACCUUUUUUUUAAUCAAAGUUGAAUUGUCA